rnacentral:rRNA from 1 species
UACGUAGGGUGCGAGCGUUGUCCGGAAUUAUUGGGCGUAAAGGGUGCGUAGGCGGUCUGAUAAGUCAUCUGUGAAAUCUAUGGGCUCAACCCAUAGUCUGCAGGCGAAACUGUCGGGCUUGAGUAUGGGAGAGGUGAGUGGAAUUUCCGGUGUAGCGGUGAAAUGCGUAGAUAUCGGAAGGAACACCUGUGGCGAAAGCGGCUCACUGGACCAUUACUGACGCUGAUGCACGAAAGCUAGGGGAGCAAACAGG